rnacentral:piRNA from 1 species
UGAUGUUUUGUGCAGGAAAAGAAGUC